AGAUUGAACGCUGGCGGCAUGCCUUACACAUGCAAGUCGAACGGCAGCACGGGAGCAAUCCUGGUGGCGAGUGGCGAACGGGUGAGUAAUACAUCGGAACGUGCCCAAUCGUGGGGGAUAACGCAGCGAAAGCUGUGCUAAUACCGCAUAAGAUCUACGGAUGAAAGCAGGGGAUCGCAAGACCUUGCGCGAAUGGAGCGGCCGAUGGCAGAUUAGGUAGUUGGUGAGGUAAAGGCUCACCAAGCCUUCGAUCUGUAGCUGGUCUGAGAGGACGACCAGCCACACUGGGACUGAGACACGGCCAGACUCACGGGAGCAGCAGUGGGAAUUUGGACAAGUGGGACGAAAG
rnacentral:rRNA from 1 species